rnacentral:lncRNA from 1 species
GGAGGACUUAAAAAUACCGAACGCCUUGCCAAGAGGUAAACUUGGUAGUUAUCCUUUUCUUUUUAAUUAUUCAAUUAUAGUUUGCUUAGUUAAUCAUCUUCACACUAUCUUAAAAAGAAAAUAAAAAUGUGAAAAAAAUUGUAAGCCCCAUGUGAGUAGACGAGUGGCAUAAAACCCAUAAGUACAUUCACUGUGGUGGCAUAAAAAUAAAUAUCUUUUCUGCUUUAUAAAAACAAAAAUAUAAAAACAGGGAGUAACAAUUAUUAAGGAGUCUUAACAUGAUAAAGGCUAGAUAUUUAUGCUAACACUUAAUCAGUUCCACAAGCUAUGUUGUCUAUUUGAGCUCCACAGAAUUUAAGAAUCAAGAAGACUAGCAGACGGAGGACAUUCUAAUCGCUGUCAGAAUGCUGCUGACUUUCAAAUACACCUCUGCCACCUGCUAGCUACAUCAAGAGAAAUUACGUCAAAAUUCAGCUUGGGGGAGAGCACCCCCAUUUAUCUCGAUAAGUAUUUCUAUCUAUCUUUAUACUUAUACUAUAUUAGAAUAUAAAUACACAUAACUAUGCAAAACCAAAUAAAGAUUUUAUGCUUAUAUAUAUUUUGCUUAGUGUGUUUAAUAAAUAAAUAAAGUGGCUAUGCUAAUCUGUAUCUAAAUAAAACUUAAGCAUGGAUAUAAUGAAUAGUUGCUCUGCCUAAUUUGCAAAUUUGAAGUUCUCUCUCAAGUUUAGAUAUAACUAUUAUAAUUUAAAGCUUGCUCUAGACCUAAACUUGUGGGAUGAAAACUUGAUCUGAAGUCUAAGUUGUUAACGGAUACGAUAUGGGAAGGUUGAGCUGCUGUUUAUCUGUUCCUAAAGAUGCUAGAAUUCUGGAGAAUUUUAUCUUUGAAAAAUCUUUAAAAUAACACAUGAUGAGUUCCUGUAUGAUGAGAGUUUAAAUUCCUACCACAGCUAUAUAUACAUGCUUGCUAGACUUUGAGCCACACAUUUACUUUUUACUGCUUAUGAGCAUUGAGUGUGGUCAAGCUGUGUAGACCCUUAGGAGCUUGUCAUGUGGUUAAAUCAAGAUUCACUUGCACGUUCACUCAUACAUGCUACUUCUACUCCGGAAGUACCAUCCACAUAUAUCCACUCAUUUCCAUCUCCAAAACCACCCAAAAGUAUUCUACUCCUAAUCCAGGAGAGAAUAAAAAAAAUAUUUCUGUUUCCCCUUGUGAAAUAAAUGCUCAAGUUAUCUUGUUACUACCACUUGCUAUAUUAUCUCAAGAGAUGAAUGCUCUAGUAAAAAAAAAAGAGAUACGAGGAAAUAAAAAGGAGCAAGUGCUCGGAACCUCGAAAGAAAAGAAAAAGUGAGACGAGAGGUAAAAAUGGACAAGUGUCCGACAGUAGAAUUAGGGGUGCAAGACACCCACCUGAGAGAAAAAAAAGAAGAGCAUCUCAUUCUCCUCAUAAAGUUUCAAAAGCAAGGAAGGUAUGUAUCCCCUCAAAGAGCAAAGUAGAAUUAGACUUCCACCACCAUUGUUAUCACCAUCAUCACCAUACACCAUUCAUUAACCACACAUGCACAUCUUGAUUUGGCUUAUUGAUUUGUUUCUUUGGAUCCAUGGUUUGACUAUGCAAUAAAUGUCUUGUAAGUAUGUAUAUUUUAUCUCCCACCUAUGAGCUCCAGAUAUUAAAGCCUUAUUAGAGUAGGGUGAGAGAGAAGGCAAUGCCUUAUACCACAAAUACUACAUAUCUUGAGAGAAGGCAUAUACCAUCACUGCCUUGGUAAGGAUCCAAAAAUACCACAAAAGAGAGACCUGAGAGAAUCAUACAAGGAAUUUCUGAGUUUUAUUUGAAAAUCUGCAAAAACCCCAGAGCUAUAGCUGAUCAAGAAUAAGAGACAUGGCACUUGGCUAGACUGUUCUAUCUUUUAACCACUCAAGACAGAAGUGACGGUAACAAGUCCUAUGGUGUAGGUAAAGUAAGUAAGUUUUAAGUCUUAACAGUUUAUUCUAACUCAGAGAUGAGAUCUUGCUUGAAUGCGUGUGUACUUCUAAGAAAUGAAACCACUGCAGAAACUCUUGAGUUCAUCCUUGCUCAGGGACGAGCAAGAGGUAAGCCUGGGGGAGUUUGUUGACGGUCCUUAACUAUCAAAUUUAAUUAUCAAAUAAACAAAGAAAAUGAUCCAAAUGAAAUCAACAUCUAGACUUAGGGUUUUAUCUGACAGAAUUCCACGAGUUUUGGUGUUUGUCUAUUUCUGCAGGGGGUUAUCAGGAAAUAAGGAAGAAAGGCCCACAUGUCAGGAUUAGAUAGAGAUAUCAAUGCACCGCGCAAUUUUCUACCAUCUAGAAGACUCCAGAAGCCGCGAGACCGAAGCGGAGGCAAAACGGGGCCAGGACCUGGGCGCCCGCCCAGUUUCCUUGGGCGCCCGCCCACCUGCUGAGCCCAAUCAGGACUCUUUCUCUCGGGAGAUCUCCACCGACCUAUUAGAUCCAGAAUAACAUAGUACCACCUCGCCUAUCGACCCAAAAACGCAUAGAAGGGGAGGACUAUAUAAGGAGACCCCCUCUGGCUCCUGGAGAAGAGAAGAAAUUAUCAUAGAGAUUGAGGGGUGCCCUCGAAGGAAAACCUCUUCUCUAAAUAAUAUUUCUUUUUAGGCUUAGCAACCAAUGUAAGGUAGAAAUAGAUCUUCUAGUUUCUACUAGAUUGAGAGAGAUAGAGUGGAGGUGUGGAUCGGAGGAAGGCCGGCCUGUCGGUGUCUACUCCGAGUUGUACCUACGGGAUCAAGUCUCCUAACCCGAGGCUUGCUUCUAAGAUUCUUCAGUAAUUCGACUUCUAAUUCUAGUAAGUUCUUGCUUUAUUGUUCUUUAGUUUAUGAGUUUACUUUAAUCCUCUUCCGGUUGAGUAUUAGAGUAAUCACUUGUUAGCGUAAACAUGGUGUUUAGGCUAGGGUACUCAUAGAUAUCCCCUGACUAGCUGGACCGUGGUAGUAGCGAGGAACGUGACAUUUCCGAGUUACCUUUGUAGAUCACAUCUCGUUAGCAGGACGGGUAGGUUUAUAGGUGCGGGUCGAACAUCCUUUGUGUUGUCUAGAUUCCGUGAGCCUCCCCAAUAUAACAGUAGAUCAUCCUUACCAAGGUUAGAACGAGACUACGGUUGCAGUCUUCUCUAUACAUCACUCACAUCGAGAGACAUUCUUUGUAGCCUAAAGGGAUAGUAGCAAUAGAUUUGGUUAGUCAGAGGCACCCUUUCUCCCAGUGGUAAAAAUAUAAAUACGAUACUCUGGAAAACCUCCCGGGUGAAAUGCUCACCGAUAUCCGUGCGCUUGCGGAUCAUUUUCUAAUUGCGUUACCAAAUAUCCGUGCGCUUGCGGAUCAUCAAGUUGUUAAAAAGUCAUUUUUAUCAUUUAUUACUUAGCAUUAAUCUAGCCAUAGGAUCAUGGUCACAGAAAUAAAAUCCAAAUGCUAUACUUGCCUUAAAUUCGCUUCAAUCCAAUGUAACUCCUUUAGAGAAUCUUCAGCUAUCUUCUGGUCAUCCCUCGUAAUCUUCAACGUCGAGAAAUGGUUCUCGUCUACUCGUAGCAAGCACCGCACAUAGACAAACAUACAAGCAACAAAUAAAAACAACUAAGUACAAUACACCAUACAAGUUAAAAGAGCGUACUAAUAGAUAGCUAAUGCUACAAGGUCACAAGAAACACUCAUAAGGGAACUAUUGUUACAAAGGAUACGACUAUCGUGACUGACUAAAAAAAGAGACAAAAGACUACGGGGUGUAUUUAUUUUAUUUCAGUGAAACAAGGUGAUAGAUAUUUUAGAGAAACAUCCUAAAGUGGAAUUAGUCAAAUUGGAUUAAUUACAAAGUCGGAGUUAAAACUUAAUUACAUUUUAAUUAUAAAUAAUUAUAUAUAUAAUUUAAUCUAUUUAAGUAUUAAUAAUUUAGAAAGCAUAAAGAAAGCUAAGGUAGAAUUAAUCAUAUUUCUAUUAUAAACACAUAUAUAGUAUUUGAUCAAAUUAUUAAACUUAAACUUUAAUUUGAAAAAGACAAGUGUACGUGAAAAUACGUCCGAAUUUUGGCAUAAGAAUAUUAUACCGAAAACAUAUUUCAUUUGACUUUAAUCAAGUUAACAGUUGAAUAUAAGAGAUCGACAUUGCCCUAUAUUGCUUUUAUUUAAACAUAUGUUUACAUAAUCAUUAAUCAAUUUAUAAUAUUUAAAUAUAUACAAAAGCACGUGGCAUAUAAACAUCAAUCGUUUCCUGACAUAUACUCACAUCUGCACAAAGUUAAGCUACUAGAAUGUAAAUACACGUGCAUUAAUAUUGUAUUUCUAAAUUUAUUUUCCUGAAAGAAAACAGUGCGAAUGCAUAUUUGACAUCAUGAUGAUGUAAUGAUGAGGUCAUCAAGCUAAAUAGAACAGUAAUCGCUCGGCCAGCACUGGAUUUUCCGUCACUGUGGUUGGCUGGUUGCCAUGGAUGGCAGCGAGAAGCUCACGAGUGCAACCUAGGGACCGUGGUUCGCUCAGAGGAAAAUCAAGUCGACGGAGAGCUCACCUAGUGUUGGCAAACGGGGACGUCCUGGUGCUCGAUAGGGCAGCUCGGGAUUUCCUCAAUGCAGAGCUCGCCAACAGGUCACGGAUGACGGCCGAUGAAACGACGAUAAGGACAUAUGUUACGGCGGCGGUGGACACAAUCUAGGGCAAGGGCAAGAGUCUGCUCUGUUUAUAUAUANNNNNNNNNNNNNNNNNNNNNNNNNNNNNNNNNNNNNNNNNNNNNNNNNNNNNNNNNNNNNNNNNNNNNNNNNNNNNNNNNNNNNNNNNNNNNNNNNNNNAUAUAUAUUCUCUUUCCACACACUUAUAUAUAUAUAUAUAAAAAAUAAAGGGGGGGGCAAAGAGAGAGACAUCUGACUCUUUCUCUCUACAGACACACACACAAAGGAGCGCAGAGCACAGGCACGCACACACACACGUGCGCGCAUUUUCUUAUACACUCACACACACAAACACAAAGUGUAUGUCUUCUCCUUUUUUUUUUAUAAGUCUGAGAGAGUGUGGAAGAAAUAUAGAGUGUAUUUGUGUGUGUGUGUGUGUGUGUGUGUGUGUGUGUGUGUGUGGGGGGGGGGGUGAGCGGGGGCGCGCGCGCGCGCGCGCGUGCGCGAGAGUGAGUGUGUGUGUAUAUAAAUAUAUAAAUAUAUAUAUAUAUAUAUAUAUAUAUACAUAUAUAUAUAUAUAUAUAUAUAUAUAUAUAUAUAUAUAUAUAUAUAUAUAUAUAUAUAUAUAUAUAUAUAUAUAUAUAUAUAUAUAUAUAUAUAUAUAUAUAUAUAUAUAUAUAUAUAUAUAUAUAUAUAUAUAUAUAUAUAUAUAUAUAUAUAUAUAUAUGUGUGUGUUAGGAUCCAAAUAAGAGUUAAACUUGGUUUUCUGAUGUCACGGGAUAAUAUGUUGGCUAGAUGGUACAUGUUGAGGACUGCUCUCGCAGGUAGGCAGGCCGCCGGAGCAUCAUGUUUUAUAGCCAAGCCAAGUUGGAAAACGUAUAGUCGUAUAUUGCAAGUAGAUAUACCACUGCUAUACUAAGCUAGACUUCUAUUGGGGUGUCUUCAAAAGAUGAAUAUUACCCAUGUUUGGGUUAGUUUGAUUCGAUGGAAGCAUGAUAAAAAAAACGAUAGAAGUCUCAGCUCAUACGUGAAAGAGAGAGUUUGGGUUACUAUGGAUUAGCUUUGGAAUUGAUAUUUAAGAACAUGAGGAACCCGAAUAAAAUUUUUGGAGCUCAUGAUAACAUUGUUUGGAGCAUCUAAAAAUUAGAUCAUGCUCAGAGAAAAAGUGAGAACAGAAGAUGGAAAAAUUCCCAAAAAGUUUGUAGAGAUUGCUUUAUGGACGAGGAACUAAAAGAAGUGCCUUGAGUGACAAAGAAAAGAUUUUAGGAAGCUCCUAAUAAAACUUGAGCCGAGAAACAAGAAAAUUGGUUGAUAAGGAUAAAGACGUACUGGUCUAAAAGGAAGAUCGAUCUACUAAACGUAUUUUAAAAACUUUGCUCACUCAACACAUAAAGGAGAAACAAGCAUCACAUCAAAAUAUAUGCACCAGCAUGUAUGCAUAAUAAUAUUGCUAAGCCUUAUGUUAAAUUUUAAUUUAAUAAAAAAAUAUUAUUUUUCCUAUAUUUUCAUGAGCACAAAAAUAUAAAAUUGAAUAAUUUUAUCUAUAUUUCAAAAGGAGUAAAUUUUAGGGUGUUACAAUUCUACCCCUUAAGAUGAAUCUCGUCCUCGAGAUUCGGAAGACGGUUAUCAAAGAGACGUAGAUUUUGAAUCUUGUUCACUUCCUUGAGUAGUUUGUAAUACCCGAUUUUAAGGACAAAACCAGAUAUACACCAUAUGUGAGUUUUAGAAGUCAAAUCUCACAUAUAGCUACAAAUAAGGGGUAAUAUCAAAAGACAAUGCAUAAAUAUAUAACGUACUUAAUAUAAAAGAUAUAACAUUUUAUAGCAAACAGCGGAUAGACAACUCCAACCUUCGGGUAUUAACUUCACUCUACAGGAUCCAACUGACUGGUUGAUCACAAGCCCAAAACUUCUCCUGAGGUGUGGGGGAAAUUACAAGAGUGAGCACAUAUCGUACUCAACAAGUAUAACCAGGGGUUCAUGAGGCUCAAUAAGCUGACACUGGUUUGACUGCGUUUAGCUUUUAUAUGUAGAUAACAUUUUUAAUCAUUGGAUAGCAAAUAUCAAGGUAGCAUAGUAAAUCCCAUAACCACAUGAUCAGUGUAUACAAGAAUUAAGAAUAACACAUAUAAACAACAUAAUAAACCAUCAUUUAUCAUCAUUAAUCAUGUUCAUCAGUGUCUAGCUAUUCCGUCAGUUUUCGGGGCCGCCCGUAUCCGUGGGCACGGCUAGUAUACCAGAUUUAACACUCUGCUGAGGUUGUACAUCUUUACCCAUGAGUCAUGAUUUACCCUUUCGCCCGAGGCCCUUCGACCUCUUAGCUCACUUCUAAGGAAAGCCGGCAGGGUUCACUAUGAAGUCUUUCAAAGGUUCGUCUAACAAGUUAGGGCCGCAAGGUUUUCUUUGCGCACAGAUAUAGAUUCCCCCUUCCAAAUGGCACAAUGACGCGCAGCCUAUACACAUAAGGACAGGGGCUCGCACUAUACCCAAAACGGUUCAGCCCCUCCGCCCUUUCGGGUAACCUCUAACAAGCUAGAAAAGCUUACUCAUACUUGACUAAAGCCAGAGCCAUAUAGCCCUCAUGGUUGUACGAGUUGUCCCAGCUUUUGCCAAGGGACAAGUCCUUAUGGAGGGUCAAGAACAAUCCAGCAAAAGCCAGAGUUCUUUCCACCCUUUAUAUUCAAGUUGCUACAAAGCUUAUUUUAUAGUUUAUUGUAUAUCCAAACAUUCAUGUUACAAGAUCAUGGAUUAUAAUCAAGCACUAGGAAGAACUAUCCAAAUGCAUAUCCAAAAUAGGUAACAAGGAAUUCAGGAUAACAAUCAUCUAUGAUUUUGCUAAGGUCAUCAAGGUGGACGCAUGCAAAUGAUAAGUGCUAUAUUAAUUGUGUAUAGGUAACAAGGAUAGUCCCCAGUUAUACUUGCCUUGAUCAAAGCUCUCCUGAGCCUGCUGCUGGUCUUCAAAGGCUUGAUCUUGUUCACCAACGUAUCGCUCACCGUCUAUACCCGAUCAUCAAUCAACAACACGCAAUCCAAUGUAGACAAGCAUACACGAAGCAAACAAGCUAUAAUUAGAACAAUACACCAAACAGUGGCAAAACAAAGAUAAAAUUUUAUAAAAAUAUUCUACGCAGUGCUACGAUCACACAAACGUAAAGUUCACAAAAAUCGGAAUUAAAACGUGGAAGUUAUGGAUUUUCUAAGCUUUCCUAUAGAUAAAUAAUUUAAUUAAUUAGGGUCACGAAAUUAAAAAGUUUCAAACUGAGUAAAUAAUAUUACUAACACGUAGAGCUCGUGAUUAUGAAACCAACGCAAUUUGAAUGGACAAAAACGGAGCUAUAACGAAUAUUUUAUGAGCAAAAUACUUUCAGUGGCAGAACUGUAAAUAGCUGAAAACGUAUUUUGAACUGAGCUGAGAGAAAAUACGCUUUCAAAAUUGAGAAACACCUUUCCCAGAUGACGCCAAGGACCGCGGGUUGAGCUUUGAAAACAUUAGGGACUCUUUAGGAAAUUGUCCAAUCGAAUCGGUAACUUCUAAUCUCGAUCGUUGGAGCUCGAUCGGACGGCUCGUAACGCUCCAAGGAGAUCACGGUGGAGGCCGGCCGCCGGGGUGGGGCUCAGGCGCGGCGGCGCCAUGGCUGGGAAAGAACAGAGCUCGCCGGAAUUGAUGUAUUCGCGAUUCAGAGCACUAGGAAUUGAAAGAAGUUCACCAACCGGAGGAGGAGCUUACCCCGAACUCACCUAUGCUUGCGGUUUGGCCCGAGAGAGAGCGUGGAGAGCUCGCCACGGAAGCCUCGGCGAGAUCCCUUUUAGGGUGCUGCGGCGCUAGGGCGGCUGUGUGUCGCGUGGAGAUGCAAAGGAAGAACUUGGCGACUUUCCAGGGAGUCUUAUAGCGCUCGGUCGGGCAAAGGCGAGGGAAAUCCCGAGUACCCGGGAUCGGUUUCCUCUGGGAGAGUCCCAGUCGAACCCGGCGCCAGGAGGAAGAAGAGAUGGGUCGCUGCUAGGCGGGCCCGGGUGAUCAGGGAGAGAAGGGAAAGGGUGGCGCGGGGCUGGUCCAAACUGGGCUGUGCCUCACGCGCGCGGCCAGUGGGCCGAUUGCGGGAUCAGGCCAACGGGCCGAGAGAGAGAUGGGAAAAAAAGGUGGCGUGCUUGGCCGGAAGAGGGAGUGGGGCGCGCGCAGCUGGUCUGCCGGGCCGCCCACUGGGCCGAGCGCAAAAGGGGAGAGGGGACUGGCUGGGCCAAGGGUGCAGGUGAGCAUUCUUUUUUUAUUUUAUUUUAUUUUUUUCAAAUCCUUUUUUCCAAUUGAAUUUUGAAAGCAAAUAAAUACAAACCAAAAGAAAUCAACACAAAAUAAAAUAUAUUUCAGCAUGAAUGCAGAAUCGAGUUUACUAGACUUAUGAUGAAUUUUAAUUUUCCACAAAAAAUGUUUAAGUGCUAAAUUUAAAUGCUCACAAAAAUAUUCAAAUAAAUCAAAUUAAAUCCUAUUAAUUCAAAAGCAAUUUUUUUGGGUGUUACAUAGUUAUAUCUUCAUAGCAAUGAUUCCACUUCCUUACUUCAAGUAGCCUCUCAAGUAUUCCUAAAUUAUUGAUGAGACACCUAGUGUUGUAGGUAUGAUCCUUCUUUAAACUUAUUUCUCCAAGGGUAUUUUUUUGUUCUUAAGUACACCCAAACAUGGCUCUAACUUUGUCAUGUGAACAACUCAGGUACACCGAGCUCACUCUCAGGUAACUCCAAUUACAAGGCCACUUCUCUUUAAAUUUUUUAGUCCAUAUCAGUAACACGAGCAAGGAUAGAUUAUCAUAGGAUAUCUCAAGAGACAACUCUCACUUCAAGAUAGUUUGAAAAUGCAUCAUCCGUGAUAUCAAGGUACUACCCCUCUUAAGAUGAGAUUGACUGGGGGACACCAGGGACUAGUUCUCCUAUCCUUUUUUGGACGCUACACAUCAUAGUCUUUUAAAUUUGCUUGUACCGAGUCUCUUAAUCCAAGGUUACGUUCCUCACUAAGUUCCAAUUAUCGGUACCUUUAUCAUAGUUAAGUUGUUUCACUCUUGCAUCCCACUUUUAACUUCGUAAACUUGGGUGUCAUCUGAUCCUCAUACACAACUCUCAAUCCAUGAGUAUCAGUAAUAACAUAUAUCUCCAUUAAUAUUCUCUAAAUGGGAUGAUAUCAAAACCAAUUUACCAAGCACUUGUGAUCCUUACAUAUGAUCCAAUACUAGCCAAUCCUUUUCAUUGUAACUCCUUUAACUAGGCUACCCCCUUAGGAAAAGUCAAAUAGGGGACCAAGAAAGGUAGCUUGCCUGUUUUCCAGACAAGUUGACUAACAUUGAGAACUUCUGACAUCCCAAAGAACUUAGGUGCAAGAGAACAAAUAGGUAUCUUGAAAUCUUCUCGUAAUAUGAAAACACCAGCGUAGUAAAACAGGUAUAACUCUUAUUCUGUUAAUCCAAUAGAGUUGUAGCUUAUACCGUUACAAAACUUAUGAAAGUCCCUACAACUUUCAUGUAGAAGACUUCCUUAGGUUCUGUAUUUAAUCUUAGGUAAAACAACCAAACAUAAUAUCCUUCCUGACAAUGUCUCAGCAAUGUUGCAGUAAAUUCCAGAAAUUAUAUCUUGAGCUACUUAACUCAUCUGGAGAUGAUCCUUACAUUUUUGAAAAUCUUAGGAAAUCCUCUACAACUUUCGUAUACCACGUUUUCCCAGAUUCUGUCUUUAACUUGGCUGAAAAUAGGAAAUGCCAGAUCUGUCUAGAUUUUGAAACCGAACAGAAAUAUCCCAGUGUAAAUGUCAUAUCUCAGGUUCUACUUAUCCAAAUAAGUUCCAGCUUAUACUGUUGGAAGGCUUAGAAAAUUGUCUACAACGUUUCUAUAGAACACUUUUUCAAAAUCUAUAGUUACAUUUGUCUAAAACAGUAGGCAACUAAAACUGGUCUAGAUUUUUGACAGCACAUCUGUAUCAUCUUGUGAUUUUUAUAACUUCCAAACCAUAAUAGCUAUGAGGGUGAUUCUUGUGGGCAAAGAAAGAUCUUGAAGUCUAGUUGUUCCCAGGAAAAUUUGAUACACUUUGCACGAGCAGAUCUUGAGAUACACCAGAAUUAUUAUAGACUGCUCCAGAAAUCAGCAAGGGAUAAAAACAAGAGAUAGCCAAACCCAACUACCUAUUUCAUUAAUCUUUAUGCCUUACGCCUAUAAACUAAAUGAAAUUGUGAAGAAAAUCCACAAGAUCAUUUCACUCAUUACAAAGAUCCAAAUCAAGUGUAAACAUAAUGACAACCAAUUAAGCAUUGAAGGUUCACAUUUCACUCAACUUGCGAUACAAUCGUUCUCUUCAUACUAAGGGUACAGAUCCUAAAACUCCUUUUUAAAAGACACAAGAAGAUGAUAAGAGAAGGUUCUAAAAGCAUACCAAAUCAAGAAGUGAAGAUGAGAACAAGGACUUUUAAAAUAAGUAACAAGGUAGAGAGGAAUAGCAAGGGAAAGGAUAUAGUGUAUAGAAAAAUAUCAAGGUUUAUAGAACAAGGAUUUUAUAUCAAUUUCAAAACCAUAAGAUGGCCAAUUUCUAACUAGGCUUGUGUCUUACAGCCAGCAUUGCUAUGAUACCACUUUGUAAUGCCCGAUUUUAAGGACAAAACCAGAUAUGCACCAUAUGUGAGUCUUAGAAGGCAAAUCUCACAUAAAUAUAUAAGGGGUAAUAUCAAGAGACAAUGCAUAAAUAUAUAACGUACUUAGUAUAAAAGAGAUAACCUUUGAUAGCAAACAGCGGAUAAACAACUUCAAACUUCGGGUAUUAACUUCACUCUACAGGAUCUAAUGAUCACAAGCCUAAAACACCUCCUGAAGUGGGGGAAAUAGCAAGAGUGAGUCCAUGUCGAACUCAACAAGUAUAGCAACUAGAUUGUAUAUAUCCCACAAUCUCAUGAUCAAUGUGACAUAAAUAAUGUAGAGCAUUAAAUAAUAAAUAAUGAGCAUAUUUAACACACAAGAAUCAUCACCGUCGAUGCAAGAAUCCCCAAGGCCGCUCAUGACCGUGAGCACGGCUAGUAUACCAGUUUUACACUCUACAGAGGUUGUACAUCUUUACCCAUGAGUCAUGAUUUACCCUUUCGCCCGAGGUGAUCAGCCUCUUAACCCACUACCAAGGAAGGUCGGCAGGGAUCACUAUGAAGCCUUUCAAAAGUUCGUCUAACAAGUUAGGGCCGCUUGGUUUCAUUAGUCAGUCCAUGUGAUUCACCCGUAGGAAUCCACGGUCUGUUAUUCCCUAAUUGCGCCACACGGGUAACCGCUAACGAGCUAGAAAAAUUACUCAUACUUAACUAAAGUCAGAGCCAUUAUAACCCUUAUGGUUGCACUGUUGUCCCGGUUAUCACUUACAGAUAAAUCAUCAAGUUGCUAAAAAGUCAUUUUUAUCAUUUAUUAUUUAACAUUAAUCUAGCCAUAGGAUCAUGGUCACAGAAACAAAAUCCAAAUGCUAUACUUGCCUUAAAUUCGCUUCAAUCCAAUGCAACUCCUUUAGAGAAUCUUCAGUCAUCCCUCGUAAUCUUCAACGUCAAUAAAUGGUUCUCGUCUACACGUAGCAAGCACCGCACAUAGACAAACAUACAAGCAACAAAUAGAAACAACUAAGAACAAUACACCAUACAAGUUAAAAGAGCGUACUAAUAGAUAGCUAAUGCUACAAGGUCACAAGAAACACUCAUAACGGAACUAUCGUUGAAAAGGAUACGACUAUCGUGACUGACUACAAAAUGAGACAAAAGACUACGGGGCGUAUUUAUUUUAUUUGAGUGAAACAAGGUGAUAGAUAUUUUUGAGAAACAUCCUAAAAUAGAAUUAGUCAAAUUGGAUUAAUUACAAAGUCGGAGUUAAAACUUAAUUACAUUUUAAUUAUAAAUAAUUACAUAUAUAAUUUAAUCUAUUUAAGUAUUUAUAAUUUAGAGAGCAUAAAGAAAGCUAAGGUAGAAUUAAUCAUAUUUCUAUUAUAAAAACAUAUAUAGUAUUUGAUCAAAUUAUUAAACUUAAACUUUAAUUUGAAAAAGACAAGUGUACGUGAAAAUACGUCCGGAUUUUGGCAUAAGAAUAUUAUAACGAAAACAUAUUUCAUUCCACUUUAAUCAAGUUAACAGUUGAAUAUAAGAGAUCGACAUUGCCCUAUUAAACGUAUGUUUACAUAAUCAUUAAUCAAUUUAUAAUAUUUAAAUAUAUACAAAAGCACGUGGCAUAUAAACAUCAAUCGUUUCCUGACAUAUAGAUCACAUCUGCACAAAGUUAAGCUACUAGAAUGUAAAUACACGUGUAUUAAUAUUGUAUUUCUAAAUUUAUUUUCCUGAAAGAAAACGGCGAGAAUGCAUAUUUGACAUCAUGAUGAUGUAAUGAUGAGGUCAUCAAGCUAAUUAGAACAGUAAUCGCUCGGCCAGCACUAUUGGCUGGUUGCCAUGGAUGGCAGCGAGAAGCUCACGAGUGCAACCUAGGGACCAUGGUUCGCUCAGAGGAAAAUCAAGUCGACGGAGAGCUCACCUAGUGUUGGCAAACGGGGACGUCCUGGUGCUCGAUAGGGCAGCUCGGGAUUUCCUCAAUGCAGAGCUCGCCAACAGGUCACGGAUGACGGCCGAUGAAACGACGAUAAGCCGAUAAGGACAACUGCUACGGCGGCGGCGGACACAACCUAGGGCAAGGGCAAGAGUCUGCUCUGUUGCAGGAAAGAAAAACAAGAAGAUGAUGCGGUAGCUUGCUGUAUAUAUAUAUAUAUAUCACUCUGUAGCUGGCUACAAAAUAUAUUAUUCUGUAGCCACUUUGAGUUACCAUAAUUACUAUAUUAAUCUACAAGAUUAUAGUAACUCCUUACUAAGUGGUUUACUAUAACAUUACGGUAAAUAUCUCCAUGUGUUAUAAUAACCCAACAAUCGUAAAUAUGUAUACAUAUUAUCGUAAAUUAGUAUAUAAAAUUAUCGUAAAUGGAGGUGGCUAUAGAAUAACAUAUUUUGUAGCUAGCUACAGAGUACUCUCCCUAUAUAUAUAUAUAUAUAUAUAUAUAUAUAUAUAUAUAUAUAUAGGCUUAUGGGCCGAUGUGUUUUAGGAUCCAAAUAAGAGUUAAACUUGGUUUCCUGAUGUCACGGGAUAAUAUGUUGGCUAGAUGGUACAUGUUGAGGACUGCUCUCGCAGGUAGGCAGGCCGCCGGAGCAUCAUGUUUUAUAGCCAAGCCAAGUUGGAAAACGUAUAGUCGUAUAUUGCAAGUAGAUAUACCACUGCUAUACUAAGCUAGACUUCUAUUGGGGUGUCUUCAAAAGAUGAAUAUUACCCAUGUUUGGGUUAGUUUGAUUCGAUGGAAGCAUGAUAAAAAAAACGAUAGAAGUCUCAGCUCAUACGUGAAAGAGAGAGUUUGGGUUACUAUGGAUUAGCUUUAGAAUUGAUAUCUAAGAACAUGACGAACCCAAAUAAAAUUUUUAAAGCUCAUGAUAAGAUUGUUUGGAGCAUCUAAAAAUUAGAUAAUGCUCAGAGAAAAAGUGAGAACAGAAGAUGGAAAAUUUCUCGAAAAGUUUGUGGAGAUUGUUUGAUGGACGAGGAACUAAAAGAAGUGCUUUGAGUGACAAAGAAAAGAUUUUAGGAAGCUCCUAAUAAUACUUGAGCUGAAACAAGAAAUAUGGUUGAUAAAGAUAAAGACGUACUGGUCUACACGGAAGAUCGAUCUACUAAACGUAUUUUAAAAAUUUGCUCACUCAACACAUAAAGGAGCAACAAGCAUCACAUCAAAAUAUAUGCACCAGCAUGUAUGCAUAAUAAUAUUGCUAAGCCUUAUGAUAAAUUUUAAUUUAAUAAAAAAAAUAUUAAUUUCCCUAUAUUUUCAUGAGUAAAAAAUAUAAAAUUAAAUAAUUUUAUCUAUAUUUCAAAAGGAGUAAAUUUUAGGGUGUUACACAACAAGAAUAAACUUAUGUCCCUAGCUUGACGGUGGAUAAACCUGACCAAUGAGAUCAAUAGCUCAUCUUCAGAACGGCCAAGGUUUGACAAUAGGAUUCAUAGCCAAUGCGGGUGCUCUUUGAAUGUUGCCAAUCUUUUGACAGCCUUGACACCCUUUGAAAUAUUUGAAGCAAUCUUCAAGAAUAGUCAGCCAAUAAUAUCCAUUUCUUCUAAUCAUCCAUUUCAUUUUAAAAGCCGAUUAAUGUGCUCCACACCCCCUCAUGAAUUUCACCCAUCAAACUUUUUGAUUCAUCAACACCAAGACAUCUAAGUAAAAUUCCAUCCAUAGUACGAUAAUAUAGCUCAUCAUCAAGGAAUACAUACUUGGUGGCUUGAAGUCUAACGCGUCUCUCAACUUUCUUAGACGGAUCAUUUAAGUAAUCAAUGAUCUCCUUUCUCCAAUCAUCGGCAUCGAUUGCCGAUUAAAAUAUCUCCAGAACAGGUUGAUACACCAAAGCGUGUUGAGCCAACCGAUUAGCUUCUUCAUUAUGUAAUUGGAGAAUAUGUUAUAAAUGGAAAUCCUUGAAUUUCUUUAAUAACUGCAAACAUUUCUCAUAAUAUGAUAUUAAAAUUUCACUUCGGCAUUUAUAAAUUCCAACCAACUGAUUUAUGACAAGCAUAUAAUCACCAAAGAUUUCAACAGCAUCAGCACGAAUCUCCCUCAAUAACUCCAAUCCUUUCACCAGAGCUUGGUACUCGGCCUGAUUGUUUGUCGAUGUAGCAAUGAUUGGUAAUAAAAAUUCAUAUUUCUUUCCUCGGGGAGAAAUUAACACUCCACCGAUACCUGCUCCUUGAUCACAUGUAGAUCCAUCAAAGAAAAGCGUCCAAUUAGCAACCUCUAAAGAACCCACCGAACUGCAAUGUUGGGUAACAAAAUCGCCCAUAAUCGGUCCCUUGACUGCUUUAGCCAGUUCAUAACGUAAGUCAAACUCUGACAAUGCUAGUAUCCAUUUACCGAUUCUACCACUCAAAAUCGGCAUCGAUAACAUGUAUUUGACUACAUCAUCUUUGCAUAUGACAGUACAUUCGGCCGAUAGCAGUAAUGUCUCAAUUUAAUACAAGAAAAGUACAAACAUAGGCAUAACUUUUCAAUAGCCAAAUAUCUUAUCUCAGCAUCCACCAAUCUUCUUCUUAAGUAAUAAAUCACACAUUCUUUCCCUUCAAAUUCUUGAAUGAGAGCUGAACCGAUAAAUGCAUCAUCGAUCGAUAAGCAUAAUCUGAAGGGUUUUCCAUGUUGAGGUGGAACCAAUACUAGAGGAUUUACCAAAUAAUUCUUAAUUUUAUCUAAAGCUAGCCGUUGCUCUCUUCCCCAUACAAACUCUUGAUCAACUUUUAAUUUGAGCAAAGGACUGAAAGCUUUGAUCUUACCCGAUAGAUUGAAUAUAAACUACCUAAUAAAAUUAAUCUUGCCGAUCAAAGACUGAAGUUCAGUUUUAUCGGCAGGAGCAACUACCUUAUUGAUUGUAUUAAUGGAUCUUCUACUAAUUUUGAUACCUCUCUGAUGCACCAUGAAAUCCAGAAACUGGUCUGUCGAUACACCAAAUGCAAAUUUAUUAGGAUUCAUCUUCAAACCAUUUUUCCUUAUACAUUUAAGUAUUUUUCGUAGAUCGGCUAGAUGCUUUAUGAAAUCCCCAGAAUUAACCACCACAUCAUCAAUAUAAAUUUCCACCAAUGUGCCAAAGAACUCAUGAAAAAUAAAAUUCAUAGCUCUCUCAUAAGUAGCACCGGCAUUUUUUAGCGAAAAGUCAUGACUAUCCAUUCAAACAACCCAACAUGACCAGGACAUCUGAACGUAGUCUUGGGAAUAUCUUCUUCAGCAAUGAAUAUUUGAAUGUAUCCUGCAUUACCAUUCAUGAAGCUUAUAACCCAAUGCCCAGCUGCAGCAUCGAGCAACAAAUUGGCAACUGACAUUGGAUAGCCAUCCAUCGAUGUAGCUUUAUUAAGAUUCCUAAAAUCAAUGCAUACACAAAGUUUUCCAUUUUUCUUAUAGACAAGAACAACAUUAGAAAUCCACUCAGCAUACCGACACUGCCCAAUGAACUUAACUUCAAUUAGUUUGGUUAUUUUAGCCUUAAUAUCAGGAAGAAUAUUAGGGUUACAUCGACAUGCUGGCUGCUGAUGUGGUGGAAAUCUAGAUUUAAUAGGCAAUCAAUGUUCAACAAUUGAUUGGUCUAAUCUAGGCAUCUCAGUAUAAUCCCAAGCAAAGCAAUCUUUAUACUCUUUUAGCAAAUCGGUUAAUUGUCGCUUACAUUCGGAAUCUAACUUAGCACUAAUGAAAGUAGGCCUCGGCCUAUCACCACUACCUAUGUCUACUUCUACUAAAUCAUCAGCCGAUGUAAACCCCUGUCCUAACUUUCCAUCAUCGGCGAACCUAUCCAUUAAAACUCCUCAUCAGAACCGACUGCUUGGAUCGGUGGAAUCUCAUACUCAGUAACUUUGAGGAAAUCUUUCUCCCAAGCCUCUCCCGAUAUGAACCUAGUUCACUCAUAAGUAUCUGAUUCUGUCGAUGCAAUGAUGUAGGAAGAAUCUCUAGGAACAACUUCAGUUUUAUCGCCUACCCAUUGAACAAGGCACUGAUGCAUCAUAGAAGGGACACAACAGUUGGCAUGAAUCCAAUCUCUCCUCAGUAGUAGAUUGUACACGCCCUUUCCGUUGAUGACAAAGAAAGUUGUCGGGAAGGUCUUGCUACCGAUAGUCAAUUCAACGCAUACAGCUCCUUUAGCUGGAGACACAUUACCUUCAAAAUCUUUCAGCAUCAUACUGGUCUUGGUUAAAUCCCGAUCUCCUUUACUAAGCUUCCGAUACAUCACAUACGACAUAAUAUUAAUUGCAGCCCCUCCAUCAAUAAGUAUUUUAGAGACUCGCUGCCCAUCAACCCUACCUUUAACGAACAAAGCUUUAAGAUGUUGCCUUUCAUCAUCGGAGGGUUUCUCAAAAAUAGCCAUCAUUGGAUCAAGUGCCAACUGAGCUAUUUGAUCAGAGAGACUAAUUUCUUCAUCAUCACUAGAGGGUGCAAGAAAUUACACUGGCAACAUGAAUACCAAAUUGACAUCUGCCAAUGGUCCUUUCCCCUUGCGGUCCAACUGCUGCCGAUCUUCAGACUUAGAAGAAUUUUCUUCCCUAUACAAAUCUUCCUGACGUUCCCGUUGUAUCCUCCUCCUCUAGGAUCUUGUUAAACCUUCCAGACACCAUCGGGGAAGCUUUAUCUUCCAAACCGGUUGAUAGCGCACCUCAUUUGACUCUACACGAUGAAUGUUAAAAUCUCUGCAAAAUAGAAUUCAACGGGAACCCAUGCGUUUGCCAUCUCUUCUUGUUCUUCUUGAUUCCUCGGGAAAUAACUGACACGUCCACCAAGCCUUUCAUGCACAUUAAGCCUGCCCCUAGCCAAUCAUGUACUGACGUUCUCCCCCUGAUCGGCACAUUAAAACGUCGAUUAUCGAUUUGGAAUCUCUGAUUUGGCCAAUUAUUUCGACGGUAACCAUUGCACUCAGGACAGUCUUCAAUACUCGACAAUUUGAUAUCUCGUUCCUAGCAAUGAAUAAAGAACGGGCAAUCCCAAUGAUGUUUAUGUCGAUUCCACUCCUCCCGACAUCUAUCUUCUUGUUGAUGCCGAUAUCGAUCCUCACGCUGCUGCCAAUUCUCCCAUUGCCGUCUAUGAGUGAUUACUAUGCCAGAUAGGGGAGGCCGUCCAGAACUGCUGCCUUCCCUCAAUAAACCCUUUCCUUUGGCGUCAUCGGUAGUUAUAUGAUGCUGGGGAUCUACCGAUGCGUUCUUGUCAGCUGUUUCUGACAUCAAGACCUUAGUCUUACCCUUGGCAUCUAACAUAUUCGUGGGGAAAGGGUGCUGAUCAAUUUUCAUCGGCUUCUGAGUUUUAGAACUAUCAAACUUGAUUUUCCUAGACUCUAUAACCGAUUGCAAUUGCUGUCUAAACACUUUACAUUCAUUUGUACUAUGUGAAGUUGCAUUAUGCCAUUUGCAAUACUUAAUAUUUUUCAGCUCCUCCGCCGAUGGAAUUGCAUAAUUAGGUGAUAAUUUAAUCUGCCCCUCCUAAAGCAAGAAAUCAAAUAAAAUAUCCUAUCGGCUUUGGUAAUAUCAAAAGCGAACUUCUCUAGUUCUUUUUGGCCAAAAGGAUAAGAUAGUGGCUUCUUAUUUUUUACCCACUCUGCCAAGCCGAUGACUGGUUCCUCAUCACAAUCAGAAUUUUCUGCCUCAUCGACAAAUGAUACCUUUUUAUUCCAACUCUUCCUAGGUUCAAAAGUCCUAGUAUCUUGAUCCAAAAUUUUUUGCACCAAAUGACUCAAACAUUUAAACUCUUGAGAAGCAUAUUUAUCUUUGAGAUGUGGCAGCAAUCCUUGAAAAGCCAAAUCGGCUAGCUGCUGAUCAUCCAGAACCAGACUGGAGCAUUUGUUCUUUACAUCCCGCAGUCUCUGUACAAAGGUCUCUACCGAUUGUUGAGUAUUUUAAACGCAAACAGAAAAAAUCCGCAAGCGCACGGAUACCGAUGUAGCCUUCACCCAGGAGUAUUCUAGAGUAUCGAUUUUCCACAGGGAACAUGAGUGUACUAAUUAAGAAUCAAGAUCGCCGAAGGAUAACUGUAUAAUUAUUUUUGGUGGGAAGAGAGGAAGUUUCCUGAGAGUUCUCUAGUUGAUCUAAGAAUCAAGAAUUACUUCAAGAUUAUCUAUAUCGGGACAUCAGAGCACUAACCACAGAAAGAGAUGAGAAGGGGGCUAGGAAGGUCUGACUACGGUCCUACAAACACCGAUCCAAACGAGGUGGAAUACGUCGACCGUUAGGGCUAUCACUACCCUAAGGCUACCACAACAAUCCGCAAGAUUGGGUGCAAUUCCAGGUAAUUGCAAGACUAAACACCACGUCUAAUCUAUUAAUUACUACUCUAGCGUUAUAAAGACUAGAGCACUUGAUGCAAGCGGGAAUCCAAUAAAUAACUUGAAUGUAAAUAAAAGUAAUUAAAGAACUCAGGAAUUAUGAAUUGAAGAACCUGGAGAACGAUGAAGAACGAACCAGUUGCUGCAAAAGUACAAUGUUGAGGAAGAUCCGACAGAUCCGGCUCCUCCUCCGCUCUCCUCUUCUCUCUCCCUAUUUUCUAGAUUACAACUAGAACUAACUAGAACUAUAACUAGAGGAACUAGAACUAGAACUAGAUGAACUAGAACUAGAUCUAGAUGAACUAGAGGUAGAACUAGAAGAACUAGAGGGAUCCUCUCUACUUGGAUGAAGAAUUGAAACCCUAGCUUUGAUUCUGUACAAGAGGUAUGAUCUCUAGGGGCCAGGGGGCCUUGCUUAUAAAGUCUUUUCAGAUGAAUCUGGGCUGUCAGAUCAAACCGACAUUAAUCGCACGGUUUUCCUUGGUCCCUUAGGUCGGUGGAGCACGAUUCGCGAAGUUGAAGCUGAUUGGUUACUGUAGCUGGGCGGGCACCCAAGGGACUUGGGCGGGCGUCCUGCCCCCGGGCUCGGUCGGCCUCCCGUUCGUUCCCGUGGCUUCUGAAGUCUUCUAGAUAGUAGAAAAUUGCGCGGCACGUUAAUAUCUCUAUGUAAACCUGACGUGUGGGCCUUUCUUUCAUAUUUCCUGAUAACCCCCUGCAGAAAUAGACAAACACCAAAACUCAUGGAAUUCUGUCAGAUAAAACCCUAAGUCUAGGUGUUGGCUGCAUAUAAGUCUUUUUCCAUGAUUAGUUGAUGGUUAAAUGUGAGCAUUAAGGACAGUCAACAAGUUCCCCCAAGCUUAACCUUUGCUCGUCCCUGAGCAUAGAUGAACUCAAGAAUUUCUGCAGUGGUUUCAAUACAUGCGUUCAAACAAGAUCUCAUCUCUGGGUUAGGGUAAACUGUUAAGAUUUAAACUUACUCAUUUUUCCUUUCACCAUGGGGCUUGCAACCAUCAAUUAUGUCUUGAGCAGUUAAAAGAUAGAAUGGUCUAGUCAAGCACCAUGUCUCUUGUUCUUCGAUUAACUAUAGCUCUAGAGUUUUUGCAGAUUUUCAAAUAAAACUCAAAGAUUCCUUGUAUGACUCCUCUAGUCUCUCUUUUGUGGUAUUUUUGGAUCCUUACCAAGGCAGUAAUAGUGUAUGCCUUCUCUCAAAGUAUGUGGUAUUUGUGGUAUGAAGCAUAGUGACAUUACCUUCUCUCUCAUCCUACUCUAAUAAGGCUUUUGAUAUCUGGAGCUCAUAGGUGGGAGAUAAAGUAUACAUACUUACAAGACAUUUAUUGCAUAGUCGAACCAUGGAUCCGGAGAAACUAGUCAAUAAGUCAAAUCAAGAUGUGCAUGUGUGGCGAAUAAAUGGUGUAUGGUGAUGAUGGUGAUAAUAAUGGUGAAAGUCUAAUUCUACUUUUGCUCUUUUGAGGGGAUACAUACCUUCCUUGCUCUUUUGAAACUUUUGGGGAGAAUGAGAUGCUCUGUAUUUUCUUUUUCUUUCCUCUCAGGUGGGUAUCUUGUACCCCUAAUUCUACUAUCGGACACUUGUCUAUUUUUACCUCUCGUCUCACUUUUUUCUUUUUUUGAGGUCCCGGGCACUUUCCCCUUUUUAUUUCCUCGUAUCUUUUUUUCUCUCUUCUUUUUUUUAGAGCACUCAUCUCUUGAAAUAAUGUAGCAAGUCGUAGUAACCAAGAUAACUUGAGCAUUUAUUUCACAGAGGAAAACAGAAAUAUUUUUGGCUAUUCUCUCUCGGAUUAAGAGUAGAAUAUUUUUGGGUGGUUCUGGAGAUGGAAAUGGGUGGAUAUAUAUGGAUGCGUACUUCCGGAGUAGAAGCAGCAUGUAUGAGUGAACGUGCAAGUGAAUCUUGAUUUAACCACAUGACAAGCUCCUAAGGGUCUACACAGCUUGACCAUACUCAAUGCUCAUAAGCAGUAAAAAGUAAAUGUGUGGCUCAAAGUCUAGGAAGCAUGUAUAUAUGGCUGUGGUAGGAAUUUAAACUCUCAUCAUACAGGAACUCAUCAUGAGAUAUUUUAAAGAUUUUUUCAAAGAUAAAAUUCUCCAGAAUUCUAGCAUCUCUAGGAACAGAUAAACAACAACUCAACAUUCCCAUACCGUAUCCGUUAACACUUAGACUUCAGAUCAAGUUCUCUUCCCACAAGUUAAGGUUUAGAGCAAGCUUUAAAUUAUAACAGUUAUGUCUAAACUUGAGAGAGAUUUCAAUUUUGAGAACUAGUCAUGGCAGAGCAACUAUUCAUGAUUUCCAUGUGAGAGCUUAUCAUGAGGGUUCAUAGCAAACUUUAUUUAUUUAUUUAUUUAUUUAUUUAACAAACUAAGCAAAGAUAUAUAUAUAUGUAUAUAAGCACAAAAUCUUUAUUUGGGUUUUUAUGAUCAUGCAUCUUUUUAUUAUUUGAGUAAAGUAUAAACGUGAGUAGAACACUUAGCUGGAUAAGUGGGGGUGCUCUCCCCCAAGCUGGAUUUUGAUGUAAUUUCUUGUGAUGUAGCUAGCAGGUGGCGGAGGUGUAUUUGAAUGUCGGCAGCACCCUGACAGCGAUUAGGAUGUCCUCCAUCUGCUAGUCUUCUUUGAUCCUUGAAUUCUGUGGAGCUCAAAUAGACAACAAAGCUUUGUGGAACUAGUUAAGUGUUAGCAUAAAUAUCUAGCCUUUAUCAUGUUGAGCCUCCUCAAUAAAUUUUAUAUAUUUAGCAGGAUCAUGCACUUAUUAUUUUUAUAUUUUUAUUGUAAGCUGAAAACAUAUUUAUUUUAUGCCACCAUAGUGAAUGUACUUAUGGGUUUUAUGCCAUGAGCAUAUUCACAUGGGGCUUACUAUUUUUAACAUUUUUAUUUUCUUUUCAAGAUGAUAUGAACCUGAUUAACUAAGCAAACUAUUUUAAAUAAUUGAAAGAAAAAAGGAUAACUACCAAGUGUUGACACUUGCUAACACCACUUGAAUACUAGGUUGUCAUCCCCAGCAUGGCACUAGAGUGUACUAUGGUAUUUAUACACACACAGAUAAUCCGCAAGCGCACGGAUACCGUUGAAGCUUUUACCCGGUUAAAGGUUUUAUCGUAUCCACAGGGAAACGGGAGAACCAACUACGCUCUAACUUAACCAGGAUAGAUAGAUAAGUGUAAAUAGGAAAGAUGGUAGAAUCGAAUAAGAACAAUAUUAAAGGUAAGAUAACAGUGAGUGAUAAUAUGGGAAUAGAGAGUAGAGCAAUUCUAGUAUAUGGGCGAUGGUAGCAGAAUAGAGAGAAUAACUAUGGUUUCUCUACUUCAAAGGGGUAUGUCUAUGUCUGGGACGAACCACGUGAUAAGAGUACACCACAAAGGAUGCUUAUCCUUAGGCCGAUAAACCCUACCCGUCCUGCUAAGGAGAGGUGGACUACAAAGGACCAACGUAACUGUCACCUACGCGGCCUACCACACGAUCCAGCUAGACAGGGGAUAUCCACAAGUAAUCUAGGUCUAAGCACCACGCUUACACCUAUACUACAACUCUCACCUAUAGCGUCCUAUAGAUUAGAAUACUCAAAAGAGUUGUGAACCAGAACAUAUAUAAUUAGUAAUUGCAUAAUGAAUUAGAAGUAGAUU